GGUGAACGCUGGCGGUAGGCCUAACACAUGCAAGUCGAACGGCAGCACAGUAAGAGCUUGCUCUUACGGGUGGCGAGUGGCGGACGGGUGAGGAUUACAUCGGAAUCUACUUUUUCGUGGGGGAUAACGUAGGGAAACUUACGCUAAUACCGCAUACGACCUACGGGUGAAAGCAGGGGAUCUUCGGACCUUGCGCGAUUGAAUGAGCCGAUGUCGGAUUAGCUAGUUGGCGGGGUAAAGGCCCACCAAGGCGACGAUCCGUAGCUGGUCUGAGAGGAUGAUCAGCCACACUGGAACUGAGACACGGUCCAGACUCCUACGGGAGGUAGCAGUGGGGAAUAUUGGACAAUGGGCGCAAGCCUGAUCCAGCCAUACCGCGUGGGUGAAGAAGGCCUUCGGGUUGUAAAGCCCUUUUGUUGGGAAAGAAAAGCAGCAGGUUAAUACCCCGCUGUUCUGACGGUACCCAAAGAAUAAGCACCGGCUAACUUCGUG
rnacentral:rRNA from 1 species